UGAACGCUGGCGGCAUGCCUAAUACAUGCAAGUCGAGCGAACAGACGAGGAGCUUGCUCCUCUGACGUUAGCGGCGGACGGGUGAGUAACACGUGGAUAACCUACCUAUAAGACUGGGAUAACUUCGGGAAACCGGAGCUAAUACCGGAUAAUAUAUUGAACCGCAUGGUUCAAUAGUGAAAGACGGUUUUGCUGUCACUUAUAGAUGGAUCCGCGCCGCAUUAGCUAGUUGGUAAGGUAACGGCUUACCAAGGCGACGAUGCGUAGCCGACCUGAGAGGGUGAUCGGCCACACUGGAACUGAGACACGGUCCAGACUCCUACGGGAGGCAGCAGUAGGGAAUCUUCCGCAAUGGGCGAAAGCCUGACGGAGCAACGCCGCGUGAGUGAUGAAGGUCUUCGGAUCGUAAAACUCUGUUAUUAGGGAAGAACAAAUGUGUAAGUAACUAUGCACGUCUUGACGGUACCUAAUCAGAAAGCCACGGCUAACUACGUG
rnacentral:rRNA from 1 species